rnacentral:lncRNA from 1 species
UUGCUUUUAAACCAGUGAACUCAGAAGAGAAAGCUUCAUUAAACCAAGUUCUAAAAUUGUUGGGGAAUAAUAAGAACAAUAAAAAAGACUAACGAGUUUAUGUUAAAUUGUGAGAAUAGAACAAAAGGGAAGUGAAGGGGUCCUUAUUUUAAAGCUGGGUUUCAAAAGUUUGAGAGAGCCUAAAGAAUACAUUCUCAGAGACAGCGUUCAGCGGUUGCCUGGUCCUCGAACAGGUGAUUGGCUUGGUGGAUCUUCUGCAUAUAACUUCAACAGGUGCUCACCACCCGUCUCUCUGUUGCACAGUCUGUCUUUGGUCUGGCAUCUGUCUCUGAUGGGCCAUUUCCUAAACCUUUAUUUUCGUCUUGGCUGAGGCUGUCCACUUUGCAAUGUUUUUUGCUGUUGCUGCUGCCUUCUUACCUGAGCCAGUAUUUCCUGAAUUUUUCUCUGAGCAAGCUGGCAUGCAUAGAAGUGACCAGUUAUUUUCACAACCACCUGGUCAUUUUCAUCAGGUGUCUGGUCACGAGGGACUACAACUUCUGCACUUGUCAAGUUUUGAAGCUCAUUUACUGUUUUGCCUCCUUUACCAAUAACUCUACCAGCAGCAUAGGAUGGCACUUUUAUAUGAGCCUCAAGUUUCA